AACGAACGCUGGCGGCAUGCCUAACACAUGCAAGUCGAACGAGACCUUCGGGUCUAGUGGCGCACGGGUGCGUAACGCGUGGGAACCUGCCCUUAGGUUCGGAAUAACUCCCCGAAAGGGGUGCUAAUACCGGAUAAUGUCUUCGGACCAAAGAUUUAUCGCCUUUGGAUGGGCCCGCGUUGGAUUAGCUAGUUGGUAGGGUAAAAGCCUACCAAGGCGACGAUCCAUAGCUGGUCUGAGAGGAUGAUCAGCCACACUGGGACUGAGACACGGCCCAGACUCCUACGGGAGGCAGCAGUGGGGGAUAUUGGACAAUGGGCGAAAGCCUGAUCCAGCAAUGCCGCGUGAGUGAUGAAGGCCUUAGGGUUGUAAAGCUCUUUUACCCGGGACGAUAAUGACAGUACCGGGAGAAUAAGCUCCGGCUAACUCCGUG
rnacentral:rRNA from 1 species